rnacentral:misc_RNA from 1 species
ACGAAAAUUCAAUACUAAACCUUAUGCCAUUAAGAAAUAACAAAAACCCAAUUCAAAUUAACAAGAAUUACACAGUAUACAAACCUCUAAAUUAGCAUAGAAGUCACAAAAAAAUCAAUUUUAACUCAUUGAGCUUGAAUCUGGAAGAAGUCUAAACCCAAAAAAAAGCGAGAGAAAGCUUAAAUCUGGGAAGAAUCUGAACCUGGG